GACUGGGAUAACUCCGGGAAACCGGGGCUAAUACCGGAUGCUUGUUUGAACCGCAUGGUUCAAACAUAAAAGGUGGCUUCGGCUACCACUUACAGAUGGACCCGCGGCGCAUUAGCUAGUUGGUGAGGUAAUGGCUCACCAAGGCGACGAUGCGUAGCCGACCUGAGAGGGUGAUCGGCCACACUGGGACUGAGACACGGCCCAGACUCCUACGGGAGGCAGCAGUAGGGAAUCUUCCGCAAUGGACGAAAGUCUGACGGAGCAACGCCGCGUGAGUGAUGAAGGUUUUCGGAUCGUAAAGCUCUGUUGUUAGGGAAGAACAAGUACCGUUCGAAUAGGGCGGUACCUUGACGGUACCUAACCAGAAAGCCACGGCUAACUACGUGCCAGCAGCCGCGGUAAUACGUAGGUGGCAAGCGUUGUCCGGAAUUAUUGGGCGUAAAGGGCUCGCAGGCGGUUUCUUAAGUCUGAUGUGAAAGCCCCCGGCUCAACCGGGGAGGGUCAUUGGAAACUGGGGAACUUGAGUGCAGAAGAGGAGAGUGGAAUUCCACGUGUAGCGGUGAAAUGCGUAGAGAUGUGGAGGAACACCAGUGGCGAAGGCGACUCUCUGGUCUGUAACUGACGCUGAGGAGCGAAAGCGUGGGGAGCGAACAGGAUUAGAUACCCUGGUAGUCCACGCCGUAAACGAUGAGUGCUAAGUGUUAGGGGGUUUCCGCCCCUUAGUGCUGCAGCUAACGCAUUAAGCACUCCGCCUGGGGAGUACGGUCGCAAGACUGAAACUCAAAUGAAUUGACGG
rnacentral:rRNA from 2 species